rnacentral:tRNA from 1 species
GGUUGUGGCUCAGCGGUAGAGCACUUGCCUAGCGCGUGCAGGAUCCUAGGUUCGAUCCUCAGCACCG